rnacentral:lncRNA from 1 species
UAUAUUUGGCAUGUCAUCUCAGAACACUGAGAAAAGAAUCAACGCACACUGAAGCAAAGUAAGUUAUGACCGUUGUUCUCAAGAUUUACAUGCAGCAUGUGAUCUCACAGCUACAAAUUUAAUAAUUUCCAUGCUUAACAUUAUCUACAAAGAUGGAGUACAUAAUUGCAAGGAGGUGGAGGAGGAGGAGGAGAAAUUACAGAGAGAGGGUGAUUCAUCACAGGGCAUCAUAUUUAACCUUAACAGAGCAGGAAUGCAGGUGGGCCACAUGGAUAACGCCUCCAACACCGUGUUCAAUACAACUGCCUUUUAACAAUCUACUAUUUUCCUUGACACAGGACCAAAUUACACCUGCCUCGUGAGGUGGUCCACGCGAUCACACGGAUUGUGGCCUCAGAUGCGGACCCCGGUGGCCCAUGCGCUCUCCCAGUUGCUGUGAGGGUGACAGCGG